rnacentral:rRNA from 1 species
CCCUUAGAUGUUCUGGCCGCACGCGCGCUACACUGAUGCAUUCAACAAGCCUAGCCUUGACCGAGAGGUCCGGGUAAUCUUUGAAACUGCAUCGUGAUGGGGCUAGAUUAUUGCAAUUAUUAAUCUUCAACGAGGAAUGCCUAGUAAGCGUGAUUCAUCAAAUCGCGUUGAUUACGUCCCUGCCCUUUGUACACACCGCCCGUCGCUCCUACCGAUUGAAUGUGUUGGUGAGGAGCUCGGAUUGGCAGCAGUUGGUGGUUCGCCACCGGCUAUUGCUGAGAAGUCCUCCAAACCGCCCCAUUUAGAGGAAGGAGAAGUCGUAACA